CUUUGGGAAAAGCUUGAGGAAAGAGUGUUGUGGCAAUAGUAAUAGCCAAGGCCCCAGCUACACUGCCAUUUAAUGCAGAUAUAUGAAUCUACACUUACCAUAUACUACAUUCUUUGUGUUGUAUUAUUUACAUGGGCUAUAUUGCAUUACUAUCGAUAUUAUUUACGCAGGGGAAGCAUUGUUUUAAUCUUCAUUUCUCAGCACUGUCCCCAAGGGGAGCGUGACAGCUCUCCUAGGGUUUCCUUCUCAGCGCUGCCCCGCACAUGGACGGCUAGGAAGGCGAAGGGGAACCGCAAGUGUGUUCUCAGACGCAGUCGGAUUGGAGCCCUUGGCGUAGCAGCUCCGAAGAAAAGCGAGGCGGCCAUUCUGUCGGAUUACUGAAGAAAUAGAAUUGUACAUAUCACCCAAGCAUGGGAGUUAGAGGCUUGCACUCGUUUAUGACCAGUGCCUGCCCAGAGAGUUGUGCAGUAGUCAACCUGAAAGAAAUGGCAGAAAAUCACUGCAGGCAGAAUCCUGGAUCUGAUCCUGUUAUUGUGGUAGAUGCCAUGUCUUGUCUUCGGCAUUGGUACACACCAGAGUCAUGGGUCUGUGGUGGCCAGUGGCGUGAAUAUCAUUCCAGUCUGGAUGGUUUCAUAAAAGCUUUCAUGGCAGCUGGUAUCAAACUGGUGUUCUACUUUGACGGAGUGGUGGAACAGAAAAAAAGAGAUGAAUGGGUCAAACGAAGAUUGAAAAAUAACAAGGAAAUUGCCAGGAUCUUUCAGGUUAUUAAAGCCAGUAAGCAACAACCCAGGAGAAGCAUGUUCUUUAUUCCAUCUGGGUUGGCUACUUUUACACGCUUUGCUUUGAAGACUCUUGGACAAGAGACAAUAUGUUCAUUGCAAGAGGCAGACUAUGAAGUGGCCUCUUACGGACAGCAGAACAAUUGCAUGGGCAUUCUCGGAGAAGAUACAGACUACCUGAUUUAUGACACCUCUCCAUAUUUUUCCAUUAAUAACCUCUGCUUGGAUAAGCUGGAAACCAUCAUGUACUCAAGGCAGAACCUCUGCAGGAACCUAGGCCUGCAAGUAACUGAGCUUCCCCUUUUGGCCUGCCUCCUUGGCACAGAUACUGUUCCAGAGUGGGCCAUGGCACAGUUUCGGAAUCAGUGUGUUGCAUCAUAUGAUGUAAAAAGCCAGGGCUCUGGUAAAAAGACUAGUGUAAUUCCAGCAGUGGCACAUUAUAUUUCAACUCUUCCACGUUCAUAUGAGAGUUUGAUCGUGUUGGCAGAAAAUGUGCCUUUGGGAUUAGACAAGUCUAUACUUUCCAAAGGAAUAGAGUCUUAUCUUCUACCAGGGCAGAUGUCCCCAUGGCUCCUUUCUGACUUUUCAUAUCACUCAGCAGCCUCUCUCAAACAAGAUGUGCCUCUGUGCUUAGAUCAGGAGAUCUUUCAGAUUGCAAAAGAACAGCACGUGAGAGCUGAAAGCUACAUGAUAUACAAUGUCCUUAGUGGCAGAGAGGUUGAAUGCAGCAACACACUGGAAGAUGAAUAUGAUACAGAGCUUCCCAGUCAGGCACAUGUAUAUUGCCUUGUGCGUCAGCAUAUCUAUUCCAUCCUGCUGGAGUCAGCAAAAGAUGUCGAGGGAAUAUGUCCUGUGGUAAAGGAAUGGUUUGUGUAUCCUGGGAAUCCUUUACAGCAGCCAGAUCUGGUACAACCCAAACAACUCCCAGGUGGGACUCCUGGGUUGAGAUCUCUAUGGCUCAGCAGGGAUCUAGAGGCUGAAAAGCAGCGCUAUCACACGUUUCUUGCAUGCUUCCAACUGGAAGAUGUAGCAGAGGACCUCCGGGCCUUGGGUGCCUCCACUGAAGCUGCCUGCUCCUUGCUGAUCUACCUCACUCUACAAGUGGACAGUCUCUCCACGGAAGACUUGCAUGCAUUUAUGGCUCAGGCUCUGUGCCUUGAGGGGAAGCCAGCUGCUCAGCUUGCAGACUUGCAGCUUGCCCAAAUUGACUCAAGAGCUGUGCAGCUUGGUUCUCUCUUUGUCCGGGGCCUGUGCAUACUGCUUACGGCCAACAGCGCCUGUGGUUUCCCCUUCAGAGUGGACAGUUUGAUGCCCUGGCAAGUAUUUGAUGGGAAACUUUUUCAGCAGAAAUACCAGCAGGCUCAUAGAGGUUGCACUUUACAUGAGCUCUUGGAGGGCAAUAAAUCGUGGCUCACCAAGUUCCAGAAUCUGAUGUCUCUUAUUUGCAAAGCAUGUGCAGCAAAAGGCAGAAACAUCCAGAACAGACAGCGACUGACUAGCUCAAUGACAGGGAGACAAGAAGGAGCGGAAGGUUCACACUUUCCAAAUCGAGGCAGAGCUCACACUUAUCCUUACUCUCGUCACCACCAAAACAGGGAAAAGCAAUGGAGGGGCCCUUCAUCUGAAUCUCAUUAUCCAGGUAAAAGUAACCUCUUACAAGAUCGUGUUGUUUUAUGGGGUGAAGUUAAGAAAAACAUGAAUUAUACAUUUAUAUCCAACUGAAUCACUUCAUGGUGCAAUACUGGUUGCAUGAGAAUUUCAAAUGUGUUUCGAUUGUUGGAGCCAGUUUGGUGUAACAGUUUCACUAUGACUCUGGGUUGGAAUCCCUGCUUGGCCAUGGAGACCCAUUGGAUGUCCUUAGAAACAUCACAUUCACUCAGCCUCUAAGGAAGACAAUGGCAAUCCCCCUUUAAACAAAUCUUGCCAAGAAAGUUCUACAAUAGGGUUAUUUUCAGGUAGAAAUUGAUUUAAAAGUAAACACAACAACAACAUAGGCAGUAUCCUUCUACAAGUGGUUUCCCCAUUUUCACAACGUCACAAUCCAGCUGAAUUAUGAUAGCAAGGACUUUCACUUUACUAACAUUAAACUGAAUUUGGGAUAAGGUGAGGAUCACUGUCUCCUUCAGCUACUAAAAAAAGUUAAUUAAACCUAUUGCUCUUUGAGAAGACAUGGGUCCCUUCUAUACUGCCAUAUAAUCCAGAUUAUCAAAGCAGAUAAUCCACAUUAUCUGCUUUAAACUGGGUUAUAUGAAUCUACACUGCUAUAUAAUCCAGUUUAAAACAGAUAAUCUGGAUUGUAUAUGGCAGUUUAGAAGGGGCCUUAAACUCCUUAAAGGGUUGAACCUAGAUGGACUUAGGUUUAGAAUAGACUCAGUGAAAUCAAUAAAACUUAUAACUGCCUUUAAUCCUAGUGUUGACAGCAAGUCUACCCUAAAUAUGAUUAAACUUGGUUCCACUCCAACAACAUUUUAUAAUAAUGGUAGAAGUAAGCACUCACACCAAUGGAAAACAUUCCCUUAUUUUCUACGCUUUCCUCACAAAUAUAUGUGAACUGCCCCUGUUUGAACAGAAGCUUUCUGUGUUUGUUUUCUUUCAAAUUCUUAAAGAAUUUCAGUGGCCUGCUGCUGAUAGCCUGUAGUUUUAGAUUCUAAUUUGUACCCCCAAUUUAAUAAAGUACGACUGAGCUUUUGUGCAGGAUUUCUCUGUAAUGGUUCUUGGACAUACUUGAAAGUGAGCUUACAAUUGCAGGAAAGGCUUUUUGUCUUUCAAGCCUGUUUCAAUGAGACAAUUAAAAUAUCACGCUUAAUUGUCUGUAAUUUUCCUCCAUGUCUCCGCCACAGUUUGGCAACCCUAUAUUAAUCCUCUUGUAAACACAAGGCUUAGAGCACGUGUUCAUUUAGCAACUGGAAAAACAGAAGUUUAAUUCUCCAUUUUAAACAAAUGACCUUCUAACCCAGUCUUGCACAUGGCCAAUUUUUACAUAAUAUAGAAGGAUUAUAUCAACAGACUUGGCCAAGCUUUUUCAGAGUAUAGAAUGAAAAGGGCAGCACAACCAAUAUUUUUGUGCUCCCUGAGGUUUUCUGGGAAGAUGCUGAGUUUCCUUCCUGGAAAGAGGGACAUCGUACCUCCUGCUUAUUCACUUGGAAGAAGUGACAGAAACAACUAACUAUCUGCACAUUCAACUUGUUUCAGGCCCCAUCUGCACUGCCAUAUAAUGCAGUUCCAUAAUGCAGUUUAACUGCAUUGAACUGCAUUAUAUGGCAGUGUAGACUCAUAAAAUUCAGUUCAAUGUAGUUAAAAUGCAUUAUGAAACUGCAUUAUAUAGCAGACUUCAGACUCUACUCAGCAUCACAGCAGGCACUGUGAAAAGAAAACUCAUCAUCAUUUAUUUAUUUAUUUUCUUAUUUCCAUCAUUUCUAUGCCUCCCUUCUCACCCAAAGGGACUGAGGGCGGCUCACAGUUUGGCAAGAUUCAAUGCCAAUAUACAAUACAAAAGAUAAAACAUAAGCAAUUAAAGCAAUUAAACAGUUUAGCAUAAUACAAUAAAUACAUUUAAAACAAUACAAUAUAAAACACACACAAUUCACACACUCUCAAGUGCUCCACCUAUGGACUUUAUUUCACCUUGUAAGUGAGGCAACCCCUAAAAAUGACCAGCUAAAAGCUGUACAGGCAGAGCUGAGUUGACAAAGGACUUUACUGCAUCCUGUGGCAUUCACACAACCACUGAUUCCAGGAAUGUAAUGCGACAGUCAUCCUUGUUAUCCUACCUGUUCUUACUUCCACAACCACAAUGCUUCACAGUUCCAUAAAUCCCAUGGCUGGAUUUCCUGUUGGUAAGGCAAAUCCUUCCUCCCACAGUUUCAUACCUUUUAAUUCUUCUUAAAAGGAACUUUGCAGUUUCACAAAGUUACUUUGAAAAAAACUUCCUGUUUUCAUUACAGGGUAAAGGAAUGGGGGAGAGCUGGGAAAUCCUGCCUCCUGAUGUCAUUUCUGUGCCAACUUGCUGGCAUAGAAGUACCUGGAGAUGAUCACACAGCUGAGUCCCAAGACCAUGGUGCUAUUAAUGCAUUUUUUCUGUGAAAAGUAAGAGGCAGUUGUGUAGCAUGGAAGUGUCAGAUUAGUAAUCUGUAGUACACCAUAUUUGUUUGCCCCUCCAUGCAAUUAAAUCCAAAGUAGGUGUGUUCUUUGGAGCCCCCAGUGGCACAGCGUGUUAAAGUGCUGAGCUGCUCUGCUUGGGAACCGAAAGGUCGCAGGUUCAAAUCCAGGGAGCAGAGUGAGCACCUGCUGUUAGCCCCAGCUUCUGCCAACCUAGCAGUUCAAAAACAUGCAAUUGUGAAUAGAUCAAUAGAUACCCCUUUGGCAGGAAGGUAAUGGCGCUCCAUGCAGUCAUGACGGCCUCAUGACCUUGGAGGUGCCUAUGGACAACGCCGGCUCUUCGGCUUAGAAAUGGAGAUGAGCACCAACCCCCAGAGUCGAACACAACUGGACUUAAUGUCAGGUUAAAAACCUUUACUUAGAUGUGUUCCUGGACAGUACCUCUUCAAUAGAAAAUUUGUGAUCAGAGGUGAAAAAACCUGGAAAAACUAGGAAUCGGAACCUAUGCCACAAAAGGAAGAGUAGUUAAAUAUAUUUCAGUAAAUGUUUUAUUCAACACUAUAAAUAUACACAGGAAAAAUAAACCCAGGAAUUAUUUUAAUGGAAUAUAUGUUACUGAAAUAAACUAAAAUAAUUUUCACAUCAUUAGAAAAAGGAAGAUUGUCAUUCUGGUAUCUCAACACUUCUUUUCCACCCCUCAGGUUUAGGAUACAGAUCAAGACAUCAGCCAUCAAGGGGACAAAGAUUCCAGCUUGCACCUCGAUGGCCCAGAUGACUUAUCCAUGGAAUGGAAAGAAGAUAAGGAGUUCUCAUUGUGUAUGAAAAAGUAAUGAUUAAAAGUAAUAAACUAGUUUAUUUUGUAGAAAGAAUGGCUAGGCACAAUAUAAUUUUUAAAUAUCAGUUAUGCUUUGAUCUUGAUGUUAUGUUUUGAUGCUUUAAAGUGUGUGUGUGUGUGUGUGUGUGUGCGUGCGUGUGCGUGUGUGUGUGUAUACGUGUAUACACAUAGGGAGAAAAAACUACAAAACUCACAAAAAUUAAAGACAUUUUAUUUAUUUCAUGCCAAAAACAUUGCAUAGCAUGUGUAAAGCAAUGCUUUCGGGUUAGAAAGAUGAGCCAUUUACAAAAAUCAUUGCCCAGGGGACGCCCAACUGUAUUUACUCAGUCUUCAAGAAGGCUCUUUCCGUGUCCCCUAUUAAAAACAAUAAUAUAAUAAGAAAACAGCCCAAAAUUCAUAAACGUAAAAAAAACCUAAUCACUAUCAUAAACACAGAGAAAAAACCCUAAAAUCUACUAAUGUUAGGUGAUUUUAAAAAAGACUUCCAGCUUCCCAGUUGGUGAUUAUAAGUAUCAAAUACAAGUAGUCCUCAAAUUACAAACAAAAUAGGUACAGUAGGUUUUUCAAUAUCAUACUCUUGGAAAACAAAUAUGUUUGUUCCACAGCUUACUCCUUAAGCUAGCUCAUUGCUCUUGGCUGCUCUGGAUGAGCUUGCUUUAACACGAUUUUGGAAAUAAGACUGAAUUGAAACAAGAUUGAGUUAUGAAAUUAUAAUGGUGAUUACAGCAGACUCUCCACAUUUGCAGAUUUGACUUUUGCAGUUUGAUUAUUCACAGAUUUGAUUAAAAUGUUUUGGAAUACGUAUUUUGAUCCUCCAGUGACUGUGGUCAACUUGCAGCAAAGGCCAUGCUGAAGAACCCAGAGAUCCCUAGAGAGCAUAUUCUCUAUUUGUAGGUCUUCCCGUGAGGAAGAUGACUAUAGUUAUGCGGUAGGAUCUAAAGAUUCUUAAGUGUUCUCUGUAUUAAAAAAUGGUUUGCUUUUAA